ACAACAACAUUCGGACCGUCGGUCUACCGAGCAAUAUCACCCGCUCGGUGGAAGAUCUUCCCUCCGUCGUUUAAG
rnacentral:pre_miRNA from 1 species